GAGUUUGAUCCUGGCUCAGGACGAACGCUGGCGGCGUGCCUAACACAUGCAAGUCGAACGAAGCUUGAAUUCAGAUUUCUUCGGAAUGAAGAAUGAUAUGACUGAGUGGCGGACGGGUGAGUAACGCGUGAGCAACCUGCCCCUCGGAGGGGGAUAGUGUCUGGAAACGGACAGUAAUACCGCAUAACGUAUUUUUACCGCAUGAUAGAAAUACCAAAACUGAGGUGCCGAAGGAUGGGCUCGCGUUGGAUUAGAUAGUUGGUGGGGUAACGGCCUACCAAGUCAACGAUCCAUAGCCGGACUGAGAGGUUGAACGGCCACAUUGGGACUGAGACACGGCCCAGACUCCUACGGGAGGCAGCAGUGGGGAAUAUUGCACAAUGGGGGAAACCCUGAUGCAGCAACGCCGCGUGAAGGAAGACGGUUUUCGGAUUGUAAACUUCUGUUCUUAGUGAAGAAAAAUGACGGUAGCUAAGGAGCAAGCCACGGCUAACUACGUGCCAGCAGCCGCGGUAAUACG
rnacentral:rRNA from 1 species